rnacentral:rRNA from 1 species
GACGAACGCUGGCGGCGUGCUUAACACAUGCAAGUCGAACGAUGAAGUUCCUUCGGGAAUGGAUUAGUGGCGAACGGGUGAGGAACACGUGAGAAACCUGCCCAUCAUUCUGGGAUAACACCGGGAAACCGGUGCUAAUACUGGAUACUCCAUCGCGGCGGCAUCGCUGCGCGGGGAAAGAAUUUCGAUGAUGGAUGGUCUCGCGGCCUAUCAGCUUGUUGGUGAGGUAACGGCUCACCAAGGCGACGACGGGGAGCCCGCCUGAGAGGGCGACCGGCCACACUGGGACUGAGACACGGCCCAGACUCCUACGGGAGGCAGCAGUGGGGAAUAUUGGGCAAUGGACGCAAGUCUGACCCAGCGACGCCGCGUGAGGGAUGAAGGCCUUCGGGUUGUAAACCUCUUUCAGUGGGGAAGAAGCGAAAGUGACGGUACCCAAAGAAGAAGCACCGGUUAACUACGUGCCAGCAGCCGCCGUAA